AAUGUANCGCUAGCGGCGUGCCUUAUGCAUGCAAGUCGAACGGUCUUAAGCAAUUAAGAUAGUGGCGAACGGGUGAGUAACGCGUAAGUAACCUACCUCUAAGUGGGGGAUAGCUUCGGGAAACUGAAGGUAAUACCGCAUGUGGUGGGCCGACAUAUGUUGGUUCACUAAAGCCGUAAGGCGCUUGGUGAGGGGCUUGCGUCCGAUUAGCUAGUUGGUGGGGUAAUGGCCUACCAAGGCUUCGAUCGGUAGCUGGUCUGAGAGGAUGAUCAGCCACACUGGGACUGAGACACGGCCCAGACUCCUACGGGAGGCAGCAGCAAGGAAUCUUGGGCAAUGGGCGAAAGCCUGACCCAGCAACGCCGCGUGAGGGAUGAAGGCUUUCGGGUUGUAAACCUCUUUUCAUAGGGAAGAAUAAUGACGGUACCUGUGGAAUAAGCUUCGGCUAACUACGU
rnacentral:rRNA from 1 species